GAUGAACGCUGGCGGCGUGCCUAAUACAUGCAAGUCGAGCGAACAGAUGAGGAGCUUGCUCCUCUGACGUUAGCGGCGGACGGGUGAGUGACACGUGGAUAACCUACCUAUAAGACUGGGAUAACUUCGGGAAACCGGAGCUAAUACCGGAUAAUAUAUUGAACCGCAUGGUUCAAUAGUGAAAGACGGUUUUGCUGUCACUUAUAGAUGGAUCCGCGCCGCAUUAGCUAGUUGGUAAGGUAACGGCUUACCAAGGCAACGAUGCGUAGCCGACCUGAGAGGGUGAUCGGCCACACUGGAACUGAGACACGGUCCAGACUCCUACGGGAGGCAGCAGUAGGGAAUCCUCCGCAAUGGGCGAAAGCCUGACGGAGCAACGCCGCGUGAGUGAUGAAGGUCUUCGGAUCGUAAAACUCUGUUAUUAGGGAAGAACAAAUGUGUAAGUAACUAUGCACGUCUUGACGGUACCUAAUCAGAAAGCCACGGCUAACUACGUG
rnacentral:rRNA from 1 species